rnacentral:rRNA from 1 species
GACGAACGCUGGCGGCGUGCUUAACACAUGCAAGUCGAACGGAAAGGCCCUGCUUUUGUGGGGUGCUCGAGUGGCGAACGGGUGAGUAACACGUGAGUAACCUGCCCGUGACUUUGGGAUAACUUCAGGAAACUGGGGCUAAUACCGGAUAGGAGCUCCUGCUGCAUGGUGGGGGUUGGAAAGUUUCGGCGGUUGGGGAUGGACUCGCGGCUUAUCAGCUUGUUGGUGGGGUAGUGGCUUACCAAGGCUUUGACGGGUAGCCGGCCUGAGAGGGUGACCGGCCACAUUGGGACUGAGAGACGGACCAGACUCCUACGGGAGGCAGCAGUGGGGAAUAUUGCACAAUGGGCGGAAGCCUGAUGCAGAAACGCCGCGUGCGGGAUGACGGCCUUCGGGUUGUAAACCGCUUUCGCCUGUGACGAAGCGUGAGUGACGGUAAUGGGUAAAGAAGCACCGGCUAACUACGUG